GCGUUAAGUUGCAGGGUAUAGACCCGAAACCCGGUGAUCUAGCCAUGGGCAGGUUGAAGGUUGGGUAACACUAACUGGAGGACCGAACCGACUAAUGUUGAAAAAUUAGCGGAUGAUUUGUGGCUGGGGGUGAAAGGCCAAUCAAACCGGGAGAUAGCUGGUUCUCCCCGAAAGCUAUUUAGGUAGCGCCUCGUGAAUUCAUCUCCGGGGGUAGAGCACUGUUUCGGCAAGGGGGUCAUCCCGACUUACCAACCCGAUGCAAACUGCGAAUACCGGAGAAUGUUAUCACGGGAGACACACGGCGGGUGCUAACGUCCGUCGUGAAGAGGGAAACAACCCAGACCGCCAGCUAAGGUCCCAAAGUCAUGGUUAAGUGGGAAACGAUGUGGGAAGGCCCAGACAGCCAGGAUGUUGGCUUAGAAGCAGCCAUCAUUUAAAGAAAGCGUAAUAGCUCACUGGUCGAGUCGGCCUGCGCGGAAGAUGUAACGGGGCUAAACCAUG
rnacentral:rRNA from 1 species